UACGAAGGGGCUAGCGUUGUUUCGGAAUCACUGGGCGAAAGCGCACGAGGCGGAUCUUUUAAGUCAGGGGUGAAAUCCCGAGGCUCAACCUCGGAACUGCCUUUUGAUACUGGGGAUCUCGAGUCCGGGAGAGGUGAGUGGAACUGCGAGUGUAGAGGUGAAAUUCGUAGAUAUUCGCAAGAACACCAGUGGCGAAGGCGGCUCACUGGCCCGGAACUGACGCUGAGGUGCGAAACGUGGGGACGAC
rnacentral:rRNA from 1 species